AAGGAAACACUGGCAACAAAGCAAAAAAAGCUGACGCUGUAAAUGCGUAAAUCACAAUGCUUAUUAAUAUCACUUCCCCAUCAGUCAGGCACAAAAUAUGACCAUAAUUACACUUUAGCUUUCCAUAAACUAUUGUUGCUUUAGCC